GUGUGUAGCUCAAAGGUACAGAAUGUGCUUAGCAUGCACAAGGCCCAGGGCUCAAUCCCCUGCACAGGCA
rnacentral:tRNA from 1 species